ACACAUCCAUUAGAAAUUCCAGAACUUUCCCGAAACAUUUUAAGAUUUGAUUAGAUCACUAUUUAACCCCAUCAGUUUCGCAGCAGCAUCUUCUGUGACAAAACCUGCCAACUAUAUAUAAUGGCUUUAAACCGCUUUCCCGAAGAAGAAAGAAGAAAUCCAAAGUCUCAAACUUUGCCAGCUCUCUCUCUCUACCCCCCUAUCUCCUCCCUCUCUCUCUCUCUCUCCCCCCCCUCUUUCUCUCUUCCUUCCACUUUCAUAACUGAUUCUUGCCCUGAUUCAGCUCAAAUCUUCCUUUCCCUGAUCAGAAAUCUCGAAAAGUGUCCGCCUUUGAGCUCCUCCUACUCGGAAGCAGGAAUUUCAUGACAACUGCAGCUCUGCCUUUUUUCUUGCAUUUCAACAGCAACCCAUUGAAGGAAGAGUACCCGGGAUCGAGUUCGUCGCAACCAGGUCCGGGUUUCGACCAGAUGGUGAUGACGAUCCCGCCGCCGCAGCCGAUGGAGGGCCUGAACGACAUGGGCCCUCCGCCGUUUCUGAACAAGACGUACGACAUGGUGGACGACUCGGGGUCGAACGGGGUCGUCUCGUGGAGCAGAGGAGGGGCUAGCUUUGUUGUUUGGGACCCACAUACUUUUGUGAUGAGCCUCCUACCCAAGUACUUCAAGCACAAUAAUUUCUCAAGCUUUGUGAGGCAGCUCAACACUUACGGUUUUAGAAAGGUUGAUCCUAACAGAUGGGAGUUUGCCAAUGAAGGAUUUGUAAGGGGUCAGAAGCAUCUUUUGAAGAACAUUAAAAGAAGGAAAGCACCUUCUCAGCCUUUUCCGGCACAGCAAGCUGUUGGACCUUGCAUGGAAUUAGGCCACUUUGGGAUAGAUGGAGAAGUUGAUCGUUUGCGGCAUGACAAGCAGGUUCUAAUGAUGGAACUAGUGAAGCUUAGGCAGCAGCAGCAGAGUACUAGAGCCUACCUUCAGGCCAUGGAGCAAAGGUUACAGGGGACAGAACUAAAGCAGCAGCAGAUGAUGUCUUUCUUGGCAAGGGCAAUGCAGAACCCGGCUUUUAUACAGCAGCUAGUCCAACAGAAGGAGAAAAAAAAGGAGCUUGAAGAGGCAAUGACUAAGAAAAGGAGGAGGCCAAUUGAUCAAGGACUUAGUGGUGUUGGUGGUGGCGAAUCAAACCAGGUUAAGAGGGAGCCUCCUGAAUUUGGAGAUUGUGAGUAUGAAAUGUCGGAGCUUGAAGCACUUGCGAUGGAAAUGCAAGGAUUAGGUAAGGUGGGAAAGGAACAGGAGGAAGUGGUAGAGCCACUAGAUAGCGGGGAUAAAGAGCUUGAUGAAGGAUUUUGGGAAGAACUAUUGAGUGAGAGGUUUGAGGGAGACUCAACCAUUCCGAGUGCUGACAUAGGCGAAGAUGAAGAUGUUAUUAUCUUGGCUGAUCGCUUAGGUUACUUUGGUUCAUGGCCAAAGUAGACUAGCUAGCUGCACUUCUUUUGCAUUGCUCUCUCUCUCUCUCUCUCUCUCUCUCUCUCUCCUCCCCUCUUCAGUUUUCACUGCCUCAUUGACCAUUACUUUCAAAACAAGGCUAAAACCUUCAACAGUUGUUUUCAUAGUCUCGCAUUUUGUCUCUUGGGUCUCUCUUCAUGUGCCAUUAGGCCAUAACUUUCUUCUGAAUUUCUUGGUAUUGACAGGAUAGGGGGACUAGCAGCGGUUAUUUGUGGAAAAGAAACCAUCUUUGUUUCUGGUGUUUCUAACCCAGCACAUGAUAAUUGAUUGCCUCCUUUUCAUCUUCUAAUAAUUUCCUCUCUUCUUUCUUUAUCCUGGUUUAGGUUGCAGGCAUUGGUCGGACAGAAUUCGGUAACUAUGAUCGUUAUUUAUCGCAAGGUAGAUUGUUGAGAAACUGUUGAACUUGAAAAGGAGUUGCUGCAAAAGCUCCAAGAAACCCUAACACAUGUUGUUUUUGGGUCCAAGUGACUGCAUUGGUAGUUUGUCAGUAUGAUAUUUUCUGUUACUGAAAUGUUGUUUUAAUUAGUUAGAUGUAAAGAGAGCUAGGUAGCAAUGAACUUCAUAAUGUUACGUUUGUACCGUGUAGAUUGUAGAUUGGUUCAUGUCGGAUACGGUUCUCUUCUCAGUCACUUCAUCAGCUGUGGACUCUCAAAAACUGGUACAUUAUGCUCUUUAAAACAUCACCUUUAAAAUGUGUUCCUUACCCCAUUGGUGUCUUACAGAUGAAGACAGGAUACAAGUACGAAAGUACUUCUACGAAAAGCACGAAUUUGAUCAGUUUGUAAGACUAAUGCAACUUUGAUCUGAAAGAUUUUGUAAUGUAGAUGGCAGUGUCAUCUCAACAGUUCAAGUAUAUUCUUGUAACAUCCUGACUCUAACACAUAAAUACCAGACUAACAUUUUGACAGGGAAUCUGAAGUUUGGAUUGCUUAAGAAGGAUAGAAAGUUAAGUUCCAUAACUUGUACUUGAAAGUUUCUAUGGAACAAGAUGGGAAGUUUGAAGUUUCUAACUUCUCCUCUGUGUUCCUAUGUUAGUCCACUAGGCAUGUCUCGUGGACUGAUCACCCUUAAAGCACGAAAAUAAAAGCUUUUGCGCUCG